AGGUAGAAAAGUAUGAAAACCUUCAGCAACCAAAUGAGAUUGUUAAGUUUAACAACAUCAAAAAAAAGAUUACAAUUCAUCCUCAAGAUCGUGUGGCAAAUGUUUUAAAACAGUUGUUUUAUCUGUCAAAUGAGGAUGAAGGAAACUAUGUAAUUGAAAACACCUCAAGAA